UGAAACCGUGUACGUACAAGCAGUGGGAGCACAGAGCAAUCUGUGUGACUGCGUACCUUUUGUAUAAUGGGUCAGCGACUUAUAUUCUGUAGCAAGGUUAACCGAAUAGGGGAGCCGAAGGGAAACCGAGUCUUAACCGGGCGUUAAGUUGCAGGGUAUAGACCCGAAACCCGGUGAUCUAGCCAUGGGCAGGUUGAAGGUUGGGUAACACUAACUGGAGGACCGAACCGACUAAUGUUGAAAAAUUAGCGGAUGACUUGUGGCUGGGGGUGAAAGGCCAAUCAAACCGGGAGAUAGCUGGUUCUCCCCGAAAGCUAUUUAGGUAGCGCCUCGUGAAUUCAUCUCCGGGGGUAGAGCACUGUUUCGGCAAGGGGGUCAUCCCGACUUACCAACCCGAUGCAAACUGCGAAUACCGGAGAAUGUUAUCACGGGAGACACACGGCGGGUGCUAACGUCCGUCGUGAAGAGGGAAACAACCCAGACCGCCAGCUAAGGUCCCAAAGUCAUGGUUAAGUGGGAAACGAUGUGGGAAGGCCCAGACAGCCAGGAUGUUGGCUUAGAAGCAGCCAUCAUUUAAAGAAAGCGUAAUAGCUCACUGGUCGAGUCGGCCUGCGCGGAAGAUGUAACGGGGCUAAACCAUGCACCGAAGCUGCGGCAGCGACACUGUGUGUUGUUGGGUAGGGGAGCGUUCUGUAAGCCUGUGAAGGUGUGCUGUGAGGCAUGCUGGAGGUAUCAGAAGUGCGAAUGCUGACAUAAGUAACGAUAAAGCGGGUGAAAAGCCCGCUCGCCGGAAGACCAAGGGUUCCUGUCCAACGUUAAUCGGGGCAGGGUGAGUCGACCCCUAAGGCGAGGCCGAAAGGCGUAGUCGAUGGGAAACAGGUUAAUAUUCCUGUACUUGGUGUUACUGCGAAGGGGGGACGGAGAAGGCUAUGUUGGCCGGGCGACGGUUGUCCCGGUUUAAGCGUGUAGGCUGGUUUUCCAGGCAAAUCCGGAAAAUCAAGGCUGAGGCGUGAUGACGAGGCACUACGGUGCUGAAGCAACAAAUGCCCUGCUUCCAGGAAAAGCCUCUAAGCAUCAGGUAACAUCAAAUCGUACCCCAAACCGACACAGGUGGU
rnacentral:rRNA from 1 species